rnacentral:misc_RNA from 1 species
GAAAUGCGAUACGUAAUGCGAAUUGCAGAAUUCAGUGAAUCAUCGAAUCUUUGAACGCAAGUUGCGCUUUCGAGAGCCCUCGGAAGCAUGCCUCUCUGAGUAUCGGUUUCUAUAUCUCACACUACUCUGGUGGGUGUGGAGAAUGGGAGUUGCUUGUUCGCGGCAUCUCUUGAAGUCAGCAGGUCGGCCAAAGUCCAUCGGGUUCUUGGAACGAUAAUCCGUCAUGGCGCCAGAAAACCAUACACAAGAUCUCAGAUGAGGUAAGACUACCCGCCGAAUUUAA